rnacentral:rRNA from 1 species
UACGUAGGGGGCAAGCGUUGUCCGGAUUAUUGGGCGUAAAGAGCUCGUAGGUGGUUCGGUAAGUCGGAUGUGAAAUCUCCAGGCUCAACCUGGAGGGUCAUUCGAUACUGCCGUGACUAGAGUUCGGUAGGGGAGUGUGGAAUUCCUGGUGGAGCGGUGAAAUGCGCAGAGUAUCAAGGAGGAACACCCGUAGCGAAGGCGGCACUCUGGGCCGAUACUGACACUGAGGAGCGAAAGCGUGGGGAGCGAACAGG